AUCGAUCUGAAAAAAAAACAUAAUAUUAAAAAAUAACACGGACAGUUGCUAAUUGUAUGGAAAUCCGUGCACUAGAUCUGUCAUACAAAUCCAAAUUCAGAUUAUGAAUUUUUCAGACGGUGGACGCCAGCAGGCUUUCGAGACGGUCAAUUUAAGUGUUAUGGCUCCUCGAUGAUUCCGUUCAUCCAACUUCAAUGUUUAGGAUACAUUUUUCUACAUUGCCGGCUUUUUUACUGCCGAGAUUUGGUUGACCGUCUUUAAACAAAGAAAAAUGUUUAUAGUGAAUUAAUACUUUUAAUUAAUUAACGCUUUUAUAUCAGAAAUGCACAGAACAUUGAGAAUAUUUUGAUAUCUUUAAUUCAUGCAUUCAGGUUUACCGAGCGGUUUAACUUCAAAAAAUUAGAGACCUUUUCAUAAUCUCCGAAAUUCUCCGAUUGUAUCUGAUCUCCGCUAGAGGCUCAAAUUCUCCGCAAAUCGGAGAAAAAUCUCUGAACUGACAACACUGGUCGUGCUAUAAUUACGUUACAGUGCUGUCAGCAUAACAAAAACUCCUUGACGUUUCGUUUCGAUUGACGAAAUAUGUGAAACCAUAUAACUCAUUUUCAGAUUUUACACUCUAGAAUGUUAAAAAGUAUUUAAAGUGCAUAUUUUACCAUCACAUUGUAUUUAGUAUCGAUUCACUUUAAAUGUAUAUUCUUUCUACAACAAUUAUUAAUGACACAAAAAUACUUUUUAAAAUAUAUUAUGAAAUUUUAUGUGGAUCAAAACGUAACUCAAAAUGUAGUGAUUAUACAGAUCUGUCAGUGUCAGUUUGAAUUGUCAGCCCUACAUGAAGUGGAAAGAAUCAAAGAACAAGAAGAAGACUUGUUUCAGUAUUGGUAAAUUCACCAUUCUGGAAAGCUAAAGAAACACCUGUUUGUCCACCAAAGAAAACCUUAUUGGAUCCUCCCAUCAUUUGAAGGAAGCAAGUUCUGAGACAGAAGCAAGAGCACAUAAUUAUAAAAGUACAAGUACAGAAGGCUCUGCACUGUCAUCAUCAUCAACCUGUCAACGGACUGCAUGCAACUUUGAGUUCUAUUGUGCAGGGAGACGGUCAUCAAACUCUAAGCCAGGACUUGCGGCUGCCGGAAUAUAUGAAAGAAAAGUUGAGUGAGCCUCCCCUGGCAAGAGUAUAUUUGUAAUAAUCAGGUAGAACCAUCACAAGCAGAAGACUUCAAAUUCAGUACCAUCAUUGUUCAACCACAGGAUCUAUACUAAUUCUAAAUAUUUUAUUAAAUAUAUUUUAGUUUUAUUUGUAUAAAGGAUUGCAUCUCUAACAUCUCUUCUAAAAGUUCUAAAUAUAGUGACUACUUUAUGA
rnacentral:lncRNA from 1 species